UACGGGGGGGAGCAAGCGUUGUUCGGAUUUACUGGGCGUAAAGGGCGCGUAGGCGGUCAGCACAAGUCAGUUGUGAAAUCUCCGGGCUUAACUCGGAAAGGUCAACUGAUACUGUGCGACUAGAGUGCAGAAGGGGCAACUGGAAUUCUCGGUGUAGCGGUGAAAUGCGUAGAUAUCGAGAGGAACACCUGCGGCGAAGGCGGGUUGCUGGGCUGACACUGACGCUGAUGCGCGAAAGCCAGGGGAGCGAACAGG
rnacentral:rRNA from 1 species